rnacentral:rRNA from 1 species
GUGGGGAAUAUUGGACAAUGGGGGGAACCCUGAUCCAGCCAUGCAGCGUGUGUGAAGAAGGCCUUUUGGUGUAAAGCACUUUAAGCGAGGAGGAGGCUACCGAGAUUAAUACUCUUGGAUAGUGGACGUUACUCGCAGAAUAAGCACCGGCUAACUCUGUGCCAGCAGCCGCGGUAAUACAGAGGGUGCAAGCGUUAAUCGGAUUUACUGGGCGUAAAGAGCGCGUAGGUGGCCAAUUAAGUCAAAUGUGAAAUCCCCGAGCUUAACUUGGGAAUUGCAUUCGAUACUGGUUGGCUAGAGUAUGGGAGAGGAUGGUAGAAUUCCAGGUGUAGCGGUGAAAUGCGUAGAGAUCUGGAGGAAUACCGAUGGCGAAGGCAGCCAUCUGGCCUAAUACUGACACUGAGGUGCGAAAGCAUGGGGAGCAAACAGGAUUAGAAACCCUGGUAGUCC